AACGAACGCUGGCGGCAGGCUUAACACAUGCAAGUCGAGCGCCCCGCAAGGGGAGCGGCAGACGGGUGAGUAACGCGUGGGAACGUACCCUUUGCUACGGAAUAGCUCCGGGAAACUGGAAUUAAUACCGUAUGUGCCCUACGGGGGAAAGAUUUAUCGGCAAAGGAUCGGCCCGCGUUGGAUUAGGUAGUUGGUGGGGUAAUGGCCUACCAAGCCGACGAUCCAUAGCUGGUUUGAGAGGAUGAUCAGCCACACUGGGACUGAGACACGGCCCAGACUCCUACGGGAGGCAGCAGUGGGGAAUCUUAGACAAUGGGGGAAACCCUGAUCUAGCCAUGCCGCGUGAGCGAUGAAGGCCUUAGGGUUGUAAAGCUCUUUCAGUGGGGAAGAUAAUGACGGUACCCACAGAAGAAGCCUCGGCUAACUCCGUGCCAGCCGCCGCUGUAAAAC
rnacentral:rRNA from 1 species